rnacentral:lncRNA from 1 species
UUGGUUGAAUCAGAUGGCCAGAAAUUAGGCCAUUUAGGUGAACCAUAAUAACAACAUUAUAUUCACCAAUAUAAAUAAAUAUAAUAAUCAAUAUAAAAGUUAUGGCAAAAACUUAUCUGCGCGCUGUACAAAUCCAGCCCGAUCCGACCCGCUGCGAACCCCGGGUCCGUUGACCCGGUUUGUAUAUAAUUAAAAAUAAAUAAAAAAAAAUCGCUGCUUUCCUUCUCUCCUCCUCCUCUCUCUCUGCGGCAAUCCAUACCCCAGCUUUCUCUAUUCUCCCUUCGAUCUCCGGCGGAAAAGUUCGUCGGCCGCCACCGCCUCAUGUCAUCUCCUCACUCAAUCGUCUCCCUCUCGUUCUUCCUGAAUCUACUGAGCCCAAAAUAAUCCCCAAUUUCUAAAAUGAAAUCCCUAAAUCCUCCCCCCAAUUCCGGUAAGUCGCCGUCGCGACUCACCACCACCACACCUGCCGCUGAGUCCUGACAAGCUGUCGUCCUUCUCCCCAGCUCCGGUCGCAGGUCGCCGCGCUUCGCUCCACCCUCUACCUCUCCAGUCUCCAGCCGCGCGCCUUCCAGCCGGCGCCGCAUCACCGCAGCAGCUUCUCCAGCCGAAGCCGAUUUCAGAAGCCCUAGGUUUUUCUGACCUCUCUCUCUCGAUUGCACACAUGCACAGUCUCGGAGGCUCCGCUCCUUCGACGGCGGCGGCAUCGACGAAGACCCACGUUCCGCGCUCAGGUAAAUCACCCCACCACUGCUGGUUUGAUAAUAAAAAAUAGUUUUGUGUUUGAGGUUCUGAACUUGAAUUCCUUGUGGGUUGUCUAAUAUUUGUAGAAGAUUUGGUUUUCUUUAGUUUUGGAGUAGUUUCAGAGAACUGAUUUGUGGACUACUAACUUUACUUCUAUGUUACUUGAUUGUAUCCCUGUGUUGCCAAAUGGGAGUAUUUCUAUUGUUUGGAUUUUCUGCUGAAUUUUACAGAAAAAUAGAAAUGGGGCCUAACAGCUUUGAGUUGCAUGUUCUAUUACUCGGAACUGGAAGAGACAUUAGGAUGGUCCUUGUAUAACCCGUUACCCCAUUUAUGCUGAUUUUCCAACUUGUAAAAUUUGUAAGCAAUAUUUGGGUGAUCUUGAUUGAGUUAUUGAUGCAAAUGCAAUGCCUAAUAUAAUGUAUUAAUGCCCUUCUAGAGCCUCUCUCUUUUUCAAUGUUGUGAUUCAUUUAGAGCAUUCACAAUGGUUACACGAUAGCCAUUACACGAUAGGGCUAUCGUGUAAAUGUGCUAUCGUGUAACCGUUGCGGGAGAGAUUUACACGAGGGCUACACGUUCUAUCCUGUAGCCCUUUAAACCGUUUGUAAUUUUUUUUUUUUUUUUUUCAAUUUUUCUUCUCUUUAUAACUAAUUCUAUCAUGUAAGCUAUCAUGUAACCCCACUGCAACAUCUUUACACCAUGUGGUCCCCCAUCAUAAAGUAGGCUAUCAUGUAACCCCAUUGCGAAUGCUCUUAGGAGGUUUUGAUUUUCUCUUUUGUGAACAAGGAUGGUCACAAAAGCUAUAUGUGUUUCAUAGUACGUUUAGCUGGAGCAGUGGGCUGAAGUUUUAAUGGAUGUAAUUAAUAUUUUCUUUGUUUCAUUCUUCUGUCAUCUCGUGUAGAUGGCUGAAGGGAAACAGUUGAUUCCGAUUCUAGAUUUUGGGCUAUGAUGGCCAUCGGCUCACUUGUAUGUUUUCUUGUAUUUCAUUAUUUGAAGCGGUUGCCACUUUCUAUUUUCUAGUUGCUGAAUUCUUCUUGCAAGCUUCCUUGUUCUCAUCUCGUGUAUUUAAUUUCAUUUAUCAACUGCAAAUAAAGGUGUUGUGAUACAAGAACUAUGAACAUUUUUGUAACUGCCAUACGCCAAAAUGUUAAAACAGAUGCUUGAAGGCCUAGUGAGAAGGGUAGCUUUGGAUUUCGACGUACUAACAAUCGCCAAGACAAUCGCCAAGACGGCAAAGGCAUCUAAGGAAGCCAAGAUUGUUGAAGCUGGAGCCGACAUAGAACUGGUUGCAAAACAGAGGUGAUUCAUGAUGCCCUGGUAAUCAUUCUCUUUCCAUUUCUUGUGCACAUUGCUGCUGAGUUUUUGCUUCAUGGCUCUGAAUUUAGACAUAUAAUAACGAGACUGUGUUACGGAUUACAUCUUUAUUUCCGCAAUUCUUCUUCUUCUUCAACAGGGCUGCAAGUCACUGCUGCUUGCUUCUGUAACAUAUAAUCGAAGAAAUUCAGUUUGCUCAGGGGGAGCCACGUGAAUAUUGUCAAUCUUUGCUGGGGACGGGGUAUUCUGUGAUAUUUGUAGUUAAAAUGUUAUGAGUUUAAAUUCCAUUGUGAUCGCAUCUAAGUUAGGUGAAGUGGGAUUUUGUCCUCCAGUGCGAGUGGAGUACUAUCAACAUUGGUUAAAUUUCGAGUUGAGCAAGCAUAGCAUGGCAUAGAUAAAGAGAUUGUGUCAUUUUGUGGUUUUUGAGGCUUUGCACGAGUUUUGGUUGCAAAUUCUUUGAUAAAGUAUUAUAUUUAUAUUUAAAUGAUAAUUUUAAUAUAUGUAAGUGGCACCAUUUCUUUAAAUAAAUGGCACUAUUUUUCUUAGUAAAUGACAAUAACACUAUUUUUCUUAAUAAAUGACACUAUCCAUAUUAAUAACUGAUUACUAUAUUUAUAAAAUAAAUGACAUUUUUAAUAUAUCUAAAUAACACUAUUUGAAUAAAUA